AGGGAAAGCUGGCGGCAGGCUUAACACAUGCAAGUCGAGCGGUAGCACAGGGGAGCUUGCUCCCUGGGUGACGAGCGGCGGACGGGUGAGUAAUGUCUGGGAAACUGCCUGAUGGAGGGGGAUAACUACUGGAAACGGUAGCUAAUACCGCAUAAUGUCGCAAGACCAAAGAGGGGGACCUUCGGGCCUCUUGCCAUCAGAUGUGCCCAGAUGGGAUUAGCUAGUAGGUGGGGUAAUGGCUCACCUAGGCGACGAUCCCUAGCUGGUCUGAGAGGAUGACCAGCCACACUGGAACUGAGACACGGUCCAGACUCCUACGGGAGGCAGCAGUGGGGAAUAUUGCACAAUGGGCGCAAGCCUGAUGCAGCCAUGCCGCGUGUGUGAAGAAGGCCUUCGGGUUGUAAAGCACUUUCAGCGAGGAGGAAGGUGGUGAGCUUAAUACGUUCAUCAAUUGACGUUACUCGCAGAAGAAGCACCGGCUAACUCCGUG
rnacentral:rRNA from 1 species